rnacentral:rRNA from 1 species
ACUCCUACGGGAGGCAGCAGUGGGGAAUAUUGCACAAUGGGCGCAAGCCUGAUGCAGCCAUGCCGCGUGUAUGAAGAAGGCCUUCGGGUUGUAAAGUACUUUCAGCAGUGAGGAAGGUGGAUAUGUUAAUAGCAUAUUCAUUUGACGUUAGCUGCAGAAGAAGCACCGGCUAACUCCGUGCCAGCAGCCGCGGUAAUACGGAGGGUGCGAGCGUUAAUCGGAAUUACUGGGCGUAAAGCGCAUGCAGGUGGUUUGUUAAGUCAGAUGUGAAAGCCCGGGGCUCAACCUCGGAAUUGCAUUUGAAACUGGCAAACUAGAGUACUGUAGAGGGGGGUAGAAUUUCAGGUGUAGCGGUGAAAUGCGUAGAGAUCUGAAGGAAUACCGGUGGCGAAGGCGGCCCCCUGGACAGAUACUGACACUCAGAUGCGAAAGCGUGGGGAGCAAACAGGAUUAGAUACCCUGGUAG